AUUGAUCUCCCCGUGCAGAAGCUGGGAUAAUACCAUAAGACGAGAAGACCCUAUGGAGCUUUAGACAUAUCAGGUUUACGUCACUGCCCCCUAGAUAAAGGAGUGAACUAAUUAUAUACCUUGAAAAUGUUUUUGGUUGGGGCGACCACGGGAAAAGAAAUAACUCCCACGGCGAAGAAGUACAAACUUUUAAAGCUAAGACAAUCAAGUCUAAGCCAUAGAAAUUCUAACAAAUGAUCCGGCUUGCCGAUCAACGAAACGAGUUACCCUAGGGAUAACAGCGCAAUCCCCUUUAAGAGACCUUAUCAGCAAGGGGGUUUACGACCUCGAUGUUGGAUCAGGACAUCCUAAUGGUGCAGCCGCUAUUAAGGGUUCGUUUGUUCAACGAUUAAAGUCCUACGNG
rnacentral:rRNA from 1 species